GGUGCUUUGGGGAGAGUAAGGAAGUAGGCCUAUAUUUUCUCGCUCUUUUCCUUCUCUUGCCUGCUGCCAGAGUGCUAUAACGACAACAACAACAACCAUGACACAGUGGCUGUUGGGAGUUGCAGUUUCUCAAGGGCUAAUCUCUAAAGAUGAGAGCUGGGGAAAUUGAGGGCCUACAUUUGGAUUGGCUCGAAAAAACAAGCUGAGACAGGUAGAUGGAGCUUGAGCUCAGAAGACCUCAGGCUACCUCCGAUGGCUGUUGUGGAUCAAUAUGUCCCAUUGAGCUCUCCGUGGUGCUGCAACCUGACUCGCUUUGCCUCGCCUCUCCUCACCUCGCCUCGCCUCGCCUCAUUGCCUUGCAGACCUUGUGGGCUCUUAUCUGCGGGACAACAUCAUAAUUUAACAGAGCUUUCAUGCAACUGCAUCUGUUUCUGCUAGAAAUGGGAAAGAAAUGUAGGCAAUAUUAUUUUUAGCUGUCGGCAAGUGGAUAAUCUAUUUUGCCAAAAAUUAAGGCGGGGCGGGGGGACUUCAAGACUAAAUAAAGGAUUGCAUAGCAGUAAACAAGACAUAGGAUAUUGGAUUCAGAACACCAUCUAAAUGUUGCUCUUUCUUCAGCUCAUUUAUGUGAGUAAAUAUUCAUCUCUACUUAUGAAUACCACUUGAUAAAAAUACUUUCAGUGUUACCACUACAGAUGCAAAUGUAUGGCAAUUCAUUUCCUUGGUGACGUUGUUAAAAUACUGACUAUCUCCUCCUCUUUGAUGUUUUUCAGACUCAAAGCAUAUUCCAAUGUACUCAUGUGGUGUGAUUUAAUUAAAGUAUGUACUGAAAGAA